UUAACGGCUCUUUUAAGAGCCACAAAUUCAUUUUAAAAGAGCAUUU
rfam:Danio rerio chromosome 22, GRCz11 reference primary assembly.